rnacentral:rRNA from 1 species
GAUGAACGCUGGCGGCGUGCCUAAUACAUGCAAGUCGAGCGAAUGGAUUAAGAGCUUGCUCUUAUGAAGUUAGCGGCGGACGGGUGAGUAACACGUGGGUAACCUGCCCACAAGACUGGGAUAACUCCGGGAAACCGGGGCUAAUACCGGAUAACAUUUUGAACCGCAUGGUUCGAAAUUGAAAGGCGGCUUCGGCUGUCACUUAUGGAUGGACCCGCGUCGCAUUAGCUAGUUGGUGAGGUAACGGCUCACCAAGGCAACGAUGCGUAGCCGACCUGAGAGGGUGAUCGGCCACACUGGGACUGAGACACGGCCCAGACUCCUACGGGAGGCAGCAGUAGGAAAUCUUCCGCAAUGGACGAAAGUCUGACGGAGCAACGCCGCGUGAGUGAUGAAGGCUUUCGGGUCGUAAAACUCUGUCGUUAGGGAAGAACAAGUGCUAGUUGAAUAAGCUGGCACCUUGACGGUACCUAACCAGAAAGCCACGGCUAACUACGUGCCAGCAGCCGCAGUAA